rnacentral:rRNA from 1 species
AGCGAACGCUGGCGGCAGGCCUAACACAUGCAAGUCGAGCGCCGUAGCAAUACGGAGCGGCAGACGGGAGAGUAACACGUGGGAACGUGCCCUCUGGUUCGGAACAACCCAGGGAAACUUGGGCUAAUACCGGAUAAGCCCUUACGGGGAAAGAUUUAUCGCCGAAGGAUCGGCCCGCGUCUGAUUAGCUAGUUGGUGGGGUAAUGGCCCACCAAGGCGACGAUCAGUAGGUGGUCUGGGAGGAUGAUCAGCCUCACUGGGACUGAGACACGGCCCAGACUCCUACGGGAGGCAGCAGUGGGGAAUAUUGGACAAUGGGCGCAAGCCUGAUCCAGCCAUGCCGCGUGGGUGAUGAAGGCCCUAGGGUUGUAAAGCCCUUUCGGCGGGGAAGAUAAUGACGGUACCCGCAGAAGAAGCCCCGGCUAACUUCGUGCCAGCAGCCGCCGCAG